CUUCUUGGCUGUUUUAGCCAAUCCAAGUUUUCUUUUCCAUGGGAGUGGCCUGUUUCUGCAUUUGUUUCAGUACGUCCCAUGUGACUUAUUUUUGUUCCAGGUCUUCCUGUGCUACCAUAAUCUGGUCUCAUUGGACUCUUUCCUCUUCCACUGCUGCUUU